GUGCAAGCACCUAACCCUGCAUUCUGCACAGGAGGCCUGCGUGUCCUGCCGGGCGUUUGCAAGGUUUCUGCAGAAAGAGGAGUGUGUAUAGAAAGAUGACACUUGGAGAAGCUCCUUCAUCUAAUCUUACAAUAAGUCUUUGACCAAUGGAAAAGAUUGUGUUAUUUCUUCCCCUUAAGUAAUGAGUGAGUCUGAGCAGCCGCCUCACAACAGAUGUCUAAAACUCUAAAAACUUUCUGUAGGAUCUCUGGGAGGAAGGUGGUUAACAGAUUGCCAUAUCCAAACAGGCUGGAGAAAAUACAGAAGGAAGCAGUCAAUCCAUGACCAUCCAGAAGAAUUAUUCCUGAAUCAAGAGACUACAAAGGAUUACAUAUUCUGACAUAAAAUAUGGCUCCAAAUGAAUUCAUAACAUCUGAGCAUCAGUACAGUUAUGCUCCAAAGACCCGUAUCCGCAGCUUAGUGGAGUCCCUGCUUUUCCUGACUGAGCAGAGGCCACAUUUCUAUAGCUUCCAGGAUUUUCCACACAUCCACAGGAGAGACAAUUCUGCAUGGUAAUAUUGCUGUGUCUUGAGUCCAAGUGGAAAUUCAUCAAAAACUCCAGAGAUCGCCAGAAAACCAGAGUGAAGGAAUUAUUUCUAAAAUAACCAUGUUUUGUUUCCUGACUUGUUGAAUUAUGUUAAUAUCUUGGUGUAGUAUGUCAGAUGCAAAGAGUUAUUAAGUUGGAUAUUAAGUCUCAUUCAUAGUCUUUUAGAUGGAAGCUACCACCAUAAUACCAUAGUCUAAAACAGCAAAAAAAAAAUUCUCUUGUAAUAUUUUAUUCAUUAUUGGCAGAAUAAAAUUUACUAGCAGGAUAUAAAGUGCCAAAUGACACUUGUUUUUCUUCAAAUCUUGCAAAAUUAAGUUGAUAAAGAACAAAUUGAAUAAAUGGUUUAUGCUUCCAGGGUAGAAAAACUCCAGUGAUAUUACCAUAAGCCUAGAAAGCACAUUAGGAAACCAUCAUUGUUACAUCAUCAUCGGGCUUUCUUUUUCAGUCUUUUAAAGUACUGAAAAGGUCUAAACCUACUUGGUUGAUAAAAUCUGAUAGGUUCGUAUGUUUUCUAGAAACAACAGAUGAAACAGUUUCUGUAGACAGGAAAGUAUAAUAAUAUCUGAAACACGUAUGAAGUGGUUAAUCUAAAGGUGGUUCUAAAACUAAUCUAAAAGUGUCUCCAACUAUUUCAGCUUCUUCAGGAAUGUAGAUUCAACAGAGUGACUUAAUAACCCAAAACUAUUUAUCAAUGGAAAAUAACAAGAACUCCAUAUUGCAGGUCCCUUACUGUGCAGGUCACUGUACGGCACCAGCACAUAAGAAGUACAGUGGUUUACAUCCAGUGAUGACCCACAUCAUCGAAUGAAACUGUAAUGUUAGCAACCGAAAUGUAACAAUAAAGCUGAAGAUCAAGAAAACUUAAAACUAUUCAUUUAAAUAUAAACCUUGCCUUGGAAAUUAACAAGAUGGUGUGCAUUUUUUUUUUAGAAGCAGCAGCUUAUAUGAUCUGUGAUGAGCAAUAAAUAGGUGGCUUGGAUGACAGCUGAGGCAUAGUUAAUACUAUCUCAGUUAACGACACCUGUGAUCUGAAAGAAAAGCACACUUUGAGCAUGAGUGCCAUGAAGGUAUCCUCACAGCUGCAAGGCAGCUUUGUCUUGUUCACAUAUUUCCUUUCUGUACUGCACAACCCUUUUCUUAUUUACAUUUGAGAUCUAAUUCUGAUGGUUUGGGUUAAAAAAUAACAGACUAAUGCUGAACUAAAUAUAAAGGUUUUGGAAAAAAACCUAUUGUUAUACAGGAUUUCCCUUCCCAGAUCAGCAAAAUCCCAUAUCAGGGGUUUUCACUAGUCCAGGAACAACAUUUUCUUUUGUCAAGACCUGUGCUGCUGCUUUACAAGGCCCUGAGCUAAAAAAAAAAAAUCCAUAUAGACACUGCUUGAUUAUAGCUUUCAUAACGUCAACCCCAAUAAAACGAGAUAUAUUUUAUUUUCUUUAAGGGAUGUGCACCAGUCUCUAAGGUUUACUGUUCAGCACUAUCCUGUUCUAAGGUAAUCCUCAAAUGUAAGAUACCACCAGAAUGAGGCACUAAAUCAGUGGUGCCUUUUCCAGGAGCCCUGGGAACCAACAACAGUUGAGCACAAAAGAAAAAAAAAAAGUAAAAUUGGGUGACACAACCUGCUAAACAAUCAACAGAUACCUUAUUUUAAUGUCCACAGACAAGUCCUUCAGCUGCUUUUUUUUUUUUUUUUGUGAAAUCUGAUUCAUCAUAAAAUAUUGUUAUAAAACUGAGAACAUAAUAUUGUUGACUACUGGUCUGAUAUUAUUUUUGUUCUACAGCAUACAUAGAAAGAUAAUGGAGAUAAUGGUAGGAUUUGAUCAUACUUUCCUCAGAUUAGACACUUAACUAAUAAGGAGUACAGGUAUUGGGGUUUUAUUUUUUUCCUUUUUUUUCUUUUUUUAAUGGCUGGAAGGACACUUCUAAAGAGUGCUUCAGAUUUUCAGGAAGAUGGAUCACCCUUGAAAGUUUCUCUCUUUUACCGCUGAUUGAACAGCUUACAAAUUCUCCAUUCUUGGAGAUACUCAGAACUUGUCUGGAGGAGGCUCUCACCAACACAGUCUAGUUUUAAACUGAGAUCCGACUUUGGAAGAGAACUUAGUCUGGUUUUGGAGAGGGUUUGAUCAUAUGACUUCCAGAAGCCCCUUCCAGUUUAAAUUGUGAUUCUAUUUUCCUUUCUUUGGCACUUCUCUAAGUAUCUAAGGACAGGCAGGCUGAACCUAAGACUGAGAGUGGAACACGUAGUCCAGAAACCUAAACCUACAGGAAAAUGAAGAAUGUAAUUUUUUCCUUAGUAGGCAAUACUUUAUUACUGUCACAUAGCUGUAGUUAGGGAGGAAAAGUCUUUCCAUCAUACAAUAAAGUGCUCUUAGCAUCACAAUAGGAUAUGUGGUCAGAAAGAUCCUAUACUACCUUUCCUUUGCAAAGGUAAUGAGAAUUCUUUUUCAGAGAACGCUAUUUUCUGUAUAAAUUAUUAACCAGCAGAAUAGGCUGUAUACAGAUUUCUUAAAAGGAAUAUUUAAUUAACAUGACAAAUUACAUCUUUAGCCAUGAAAUGCUUAGUU